rnacentral:rRNA from 1 species
UCCUACGGGGCGCAGCAGUGGGGAAUUUUGGACAAUGGGCGCAAGCCUGAUCCGGCUAUUCCGCGUGUGGGAGGACGGCCUUCGGGUUGUAGACCACUUUUGUAGAGAACGAAAAGUCUGUUGAUAAUACCGAUAGAUGAUGACGGUACUCUAAGAAUAAGCACCGGCUAACUACGUGCCAGCAGCCGCGGUAAUACGUAGGGUGCGAGCGUUAAUCGGAAUUACUGGGCGUAAAGGGUGUGCAGGCGGUUUUGCAAGAUGGAUGUGAAAGCCCCGGGCUUAAACUGGGGAAGACAUACAUGAGU